rnacentral:rRNA from 1 species
CCUACGGGGGACAGCAGUGAGGAAUAUUGGUCAAUGGACGAGAGUCUGAACCAGCCAAGUAGCGUGAAGGAUGACUGCCCUACGGGUUGUAAACUUCUUUUAUACAGGAAUAAAACGAGGCACGUGUGCCUGUUUGCAUGUACUUUAUGAAUAAGGAUCGGCUAACUCCGUGCCAGCAGCCGCGGUAAUACGGAGGAUCCGAGCGUUAUCCGGAUUUAUUGGGUUUAAAGGGAGCGUAGACGGGUUGUUAAGUCAGUUGUGAAAGUUUGCGGCUCAACCGUAAAAUUGCAUUUGAUACUGGCAGUCUUGAGUACAGUUGAGGUAGGCGGAAUUCGUGGUGUAGCGGUGAAAUGCUUAGAUAUCACGAAGAACCCCGAUUGCGAAGGCAGCUUACUAAGCUGUGACUGACAUUGAUGCUCGAAGGUGUGGGUAUCAAACAGGAUUAGAGACCCCUGUAGUC